rnacentral:misc_RNA from 1 species
AAGUCGUAACAAGGUUUCCGUAGGUGAACCUGCGGAAGGAUCAUCAAUGAUUCUUUUGAAAACUGUUCAGGCGAGUUUGAUUGCCAGAAGAACGUUUUCUUUUUUCUCAACAAAAAACGCCGACCAAGUGGGGAUUUCUUGGGAGACACUGGUCAGGCGAAAAAGACAAACUAUUGUCAAAACACACACUCAACUACACAAAAAACAACUUUCGGCAACGGAUCUCUCGGCUCACC